rnacentral:rRNA from 1 species
CCUACGGGUGGCAGCAGUGAGGAAUAUUGGUCAAUGGGCGGAAGCCUGAACCAGCCAAGUAGCGUGCAGGAUGACGGCCCUACGGGUUGUAAACUGCUUUUAUACGGGAAUAACGCGCCUUACGUGUAGGGCUUUGCAUGUACCGUAUGAAUAAGGACCGGCUAAUUCCGUGCCAGCAGCCGCGGUAAUACGGAAGGUCUGAGCGUUAUCCGGAUUUUUUGGGUUUAAAGGGUGCGCAGGCGGGCUGUUAAGCUGGCGGUAAAAAUUCAGGGCUCAACCCUGUCGAGCCGUCGGAACUGGGAGCCUUGAGUGGGCGAGAAGUAUGCGGAAUGCGUGGUGUAGCGGUGAAAUGCAUAGAUAUCACGCAGAACGCCGAUUGCGAAGGCAGCAUACCGGCGCCCGACUGACGCUGAGGCACGAAAGCGUGGGGAUCGAACAGGAUUAGAUACCCCAGUAGUC